CAACACAUCUCUACCAUUCCAAAAGUGUACAUCAUUGCCUAUGAUAUUUCCCUGGUUGUAAAAGAUUGGUUUGUCGGUGGUCAAGCUAGGACUACCGGGUAAGAUAGAAUCAGUCGAUGAAAGAAAUGUGUACAACAACAUCUGCAUGGCGGUACCUGCUUCAUGGCAGGUAAUGCUGCCAUGGUUAAUCAGUAUUCUUCAG
rnacentral:lncRNA from 1 species